UUCCAACAGGACUAGAAGACGGUUGGUCGCAGCUCGGCUUCAUAUGACUCUCAGGAAGUGUGCUGUUCAACUGUGUAUUACUUAUCGGAGCUGAAAGCACUCAACGAAAGCCUGGACGGAAACUGUCGAAAUUUAAUAGGUUUUUCCGGAUACGCAGGCAACUUUCCCGAACGAUUGGAUUUUGUUCUAGGUCAUCUCCAAAUGAGGUUGAAGGACUUCGCCUGUCAUACACAUGGCUCGCAUGAUGCGG